UCAACAUUCGUAGGCAAAUACUGGCUUGGAGUGGCGGCGGAGCAUGGGCUGGCCCAGAUCCUAUGAUGGGAAGUCCAGAUCCGGUGACCCACAUGGUGGUAGCGACUACCGACGACGGCGGUAAUGCUAACAGCGGUGGCAAUGGUAUGUUUUUUCUUUUUUUCCUUUUUGACAGCGGCGAUGCCAGUGGCGGCGGCUCACUGGAACGGUAGUGAGCGGGGGAGGCACGGCCAGCGGGUCGCUAUCCAGGGUGGGGUUUCCUUUUUUGUUUUUUUAAAUGGGCAUCACCGCCGGGUGGUC
rnacentral:lncRNA from 1 species